rnacentral:rRNA from 1 species
UACGUAGGCAGCGAGCGUUGUUCGGAGUUACUGGGCGUAAAGGGUGUGUAGGCGGUUAUUUAAGUUUGGUGUGAAAUCUCCCGGCUCAACCGGGAGGGUGCGCCGAAUACUGAAUGACUUCGAGUGCGGGAGAGGAGAGUGGAAUUCCAGGUGUAGCGGUGAAAUGCGUAGAUAUCUGGAGGAACACCGGUGGCGAAGGCGGCAUCCUGGACCAACACUGACGCUGAGGAGCGAAAGCCAGGGGAGCAAACGGG